rnacentral:tRNA from 2 species
UCGGGUGUGGUGUAAUGGCUAACAUCGUUGACUCUCACUGCUCAGCAGUGGACAUCUCAACAGCUCCGGGUUCGAUUCCCGGCAUCCGAG